AGAUUGAACGCUGGCGGCAGGCCUAACACAUGCAAGUCGAGCGGCAGCGGGAAGUAGUUUACUACUUUGCCGGCGAGCGGCGGACGGGUGAGUAAUGUCUGGGAAACUGCCUGAUGGAGGGGGAUAACUACUGGAAACGGUAUCUAAUACCGCAUAACGUCUUCGGACCAAAGUGGGGGACCUUCGGGCCUCACGCCAUCGGAUGUGCCCAGAUGGGAUUAGCUAGUAGGUGGGGUAAUGGCUCACCUAGGCGACGAUCCCUAGCUGGUCUGAGAGGAUGACCAGCCACACUGGAACUGAGACACGGUCCAGACUCCUACGGGAGGCAGCAGUGGGGAAUAUUGCACAAUGGGCGCAAGCCUGAUGCAGCCAUGCCGCGUGUGUGAAGAAGGCCUUCGGGUUGUAAAGCACUUUCAGCGAGGAGGAAGGCCAAUAACUUAAUACGUUGUUGGAUUGACGUUACUCGCAGAAGAAGCACCGGCUAACUCCGUGCCAGCAGCCGCGGUAAUACGGAGGGUGCAAGCGUUAAUCG
rnacentral:rRNA from 1 species